rnacentral:rRNA from 1 species
GACGAACGCUGGCGGCGUGCUUAACACAUGCAAGUCGAACGGGGCACCUUGGAAAGAGAUUUCGGUCAAUGGAAGAGGUCGCUUAGUGGCGGACGGGUGAGUAACGCGUGAGGAACCUGCCUUUCAGAGGGGGACAACAGUUGGAAACGACUGCUAAUACCGCAUAAUGUACGUGGAUCGCAUGGUCUGUGUACCAAAGAUUUAUCGCUGAGAGAUGGCCUCGCGUCUGAUUAGCUAGUUGGUAGGGUAACGGCCUACCAAGGCGACGAUCAGUAGCCGGACUGAGAGGUUGGCCGGCCACAUUGGGACUGAGAUACGGCCCAGACUCCUACGGGAGGCAGCAGUGGGGAAUAUUGGGCAAUGGGCGCAAGCCUGACCCAGCAACGCUGCGUGAAGGAAGAAGGCUUUCGGGUUGUAAACUUCUUUUAAGAGGGAAGAGCAGAAGACGGUACCUCUUGAAUAAGCCACGGCUAACUACGUGCCAGCAGCCGCGGUAAUACGUAGGUGGCAAGCGUUGUC